GUAGCUAUUGAUUAUAAAGCUGCAGACCUACCAGAGGCAAUCUGUAAUGUUGUUAGACUCAGUGUCUGGGUCACUUAAUCUUAGUGGUUGAGAAAAGAGUUGAAAGGAACAAAGACAAGAAGCUGAGGGUAGAGCAGGUUGUAGCCCUGAACCAGAGCCAGUAAAAAGGUGUUAUGGGCCAACCUGAUGAUAUAUAUCCACUGAUACUGAAUGCUACAUUUGAAUUGAGACAGAAUGAAUAUAAAGUGGAUACUUGAAUUGCGCUAUCAGAGAUAACUAUUUCCAGACAGUCACAAUCGCAAGGAACAACCCCCACACCAGGAGCUGGGAGAAGAAAGGAAUGAUUGUCUGUCCAAUAGAGAUCCCCUAUUCCAGAGUUAUCAAUUGGAAAAGUGAUCUGAAUGAAUAAUUGGACAAAGGCAACAGUAAAAUUCAUGCUCCAGGUCAACAUAGUUGACAAUAAAGUGCAAGUUUUGAUUAAUUAAAAGUUAUGUGUUAAGUUUCCUAAUCUGGUUCCGUUAAUGAACAGUCAACAUAACAUAUUUUGGCGUCCCUGGGUUGGCUCUGAAAAAAUGAAUAGAGGUCUGGGACCCUAGUUUUGAGUUGAACUAUCCAUGAGAUUAGGAUAUUAAAAACAGAAAAAGGACAGGAGGGUCAGAAAAUUGAACAGAUUACUUUCAUAGUUAUAUGUUAAGAAAAUGGCAGGAUUAUGAGGAUUGGAUAGGAAAGAUUGAGAGUGGAGGGUCAGGGACCCUGGGGGAUGUAUUGUGGAAAGCAGUUAGUGAUAUGAAAUCAAAUAAAAUACAAGCGAUUAAAAAACCAUUACAAUGGGAUGUAUGGGGAAGGUCUAAUUGAAGGGAAGAGAGAAAAAUAGAAACCAGCAGAGGAAUUGUGUGAGUGUAGGGGAGAGCUGGACAGCGAGAGGAAAGAAAAUGAAAUUCUGAGGGAGCAGGGUCAGGUGAAUUUGGUUCACCCUCAGUUUCAGACUGCGAACGCAAAACGAGAUAAAAGGAGAAACGAGAAGAGGGAUGUGAAAAGGCGAGUACAGAAGUAGAGGAAUGGAAAAGUCAUUGUCAGGAUUUACGGACUGCUGUGAAAGUCAUACAGAAAUCGGCCGCUGGGAACAAAGGCAGCGCCGACCACACCGAGUGUGUAAAACAGACGGAAGGGCUGCGAAGUCAGCUUUCAGCCUCGAGAGGGGAUAUGUGCGAGGGCUGACGAUGAUGGUGAUAGAGAUUGGGGACACACUGUAACAGUGAGUAUAAUUGGGGCGCCGCCUCCAACCAGGGCCCGAGAAGCCACAGCAGUAACAAAUCAUCUCCAUUACCCUCCCACGUCUAUUCCAACGGUUCAUCGCUAUGUGCCCCAGUUGCUGGCACACAAAGGAAGUUUUCUGUGAC